rnacentral:rRNA from 1 species
UGGGGAAUAUUGCACAAUGGGCGCAAGCCUGAUGCAGCCAUGUCGCGUGUAUGAAGAAGGCCUUCGGGUUGUAAAGUACUUUCAGCGGGGAGGAAGGGAGUAAAGUUAAUACCUUUGCUCAUUGACGUUACCCGCAGAAGAAGCCCCGGCUAACUCCGUGCCAGCAGCCGCGUUAAUACGGAGGGUGCAAGCGUUAAUCGGAAUUACUGGGCGUAAAGCGCACGCAGGCGGUUUGUUAAGUCAGAUGUGAAAUCCUCGGGCUCAACCUGGGAACUGCAUCUGAUACUGGCAAGCUUGAGUCUCGUAGAGGGGGGUAGAAUUCCAGGUGUAGCGGUGAAAUGCGUAGAGAUCUGGAGGAAUACCGGUGGCGAAGGCGGCCCCCGGGACGAAGACUGACGCUCAGGUGCGAAAGCGUGGGGAGCAAACAGG